GAGCAGUGAUGAUAACGCUGCACGUUUGUGGUUGUUGGUCAAUCACGCUUCAUCUACUACUGGGUGAAAUCAAGUGCAUCUGAGCUC